rnacentral:rRNA from 1 species
CCAACGGGAGGCUGCAGUCGAGAAUCCUUCACAAUGGGGGAAACCCUGAUGGUGCGACGCCGCGUGGGGGAAUGAAGGUCUUCGGAUUGUAAACCCCUGUCAUGUGGGAGCAAAUUAAAAAGAUAGUACCACAAGAGGAAGAGACGGCUAACUCUGUGCCAGCAGCCGCGGUAAUACAGAGGUCUCAAGCGUUGUUCGGAAUCACUGGGCGUAAAGCGUGCGUAGGCGGUUUCGUAAGUCGUGUGUGAAAGGCGGGGGCUCAACCCCCGGACUGCACAUGAUACUGCGAGACUAGAGUAAUGGAGGGGGAACCGGAAUUCUCGGUGUAGCAGUGAAAUGCGUAGAUAUCGAGAGGAACACUCGUGGCGAAGGCGGGUUCCUGGACAUUAACUGACGCUGAGGCACGAAGGCCAGGGGAGCGAAAG